rnacentral:tRNA from 1 species
AGGGCAAUGGCUAAGCCCGUAACCCCUUGAAAAAGGGGUCGGACGUUCGAAUCGUCUCGGGGACGCCA